rnacentral:lncRNA from 1 species
AAUACGUUAGCCCUACCAAGGUACCUCGUAUAUAACUCCCUCAGCUUCGGGUAACUAACGUACCCACCGUACUCCGUACCACAAAUUUUCUCCGCCUCCUGCUGCGACACACCCAAGUGCCUCAUCAGUAGUGCCGCUCCCUCAUGUCUCAAAAUCUUCUUUCCAUGGCUCAACAUCCGCCCCUCAAUCUGAAGAUGCAUCAGACAUGCGACAUCAUCC